rnacentral:rRNA from 1 species
GAUGAACGCUGGCGGCGUGCCUAACACAUGCAAGUAGAACGCUGAAGGAAGGAGCUUGCUCUUUCCGGAUGAGUUGCGAACGGGUGAGUAACGCGUAGGUAACCUGCCCGGUAGCGGGGGAUAACUAUUGGAAACGAUAGCUAAUACCGCAUAACAGUAGAUGUUGCAUGAUAUCUACUUAAAAGGUGCAAUUGCACCACUACCAGAUGGACCUGCGUUGUAUUAGCUAGUUGGUGAGGUAACGGCUCACCAAGGCGACGAUACAUAGCCGACCUGAGAGGGUGAUCGGCCACACUGGGACUGAGACACGGCCCAGACUCCUACGGGAGGCAGCAGUAGGGAAUCUUCGGCAAUGGACGGAAGUCUGACCGAGCAACGCCGCGUGAGUGAAGAAGGUUUUCGGAUCGUAAAGCUCUGUUGUAAGAGAAGAACGAGUGUGAGAGUGGAAAGUUCACACUGUGACGGUAUCUUACCAGAAAGGGACGGCUAACUACGUG